GACGAACGCUGGCGGCGUGCUUAACACAUGCCAGUCGAACGAAGAGCGAUGGGAGCUUGCUUCUAUCAAUCUUAGUGGCGAACGGGUGAGUAACGCGUAAUCAACCUGCCCUUCAGAGGGGGACAACAGUUGGAAACGACUGCUAAUACCGCAUACGAUCUAAUCUCGGCAUCGAGGAUAGAUGAAAGGUGGCCUCUACAUGUAAGCUAUCACUGAAGGAGGGGAUUGCGUCUGAUUAGCUAGUUGGAGGGGUAACGGCCCACCAAGGCGAUGAUCAGUAGCCGGUCUGAGAGGAUGAACGGCCACAUUGGGACUGAGACACGGCCCAGACUCCUACGGGAGGCAGCAGUGGGGAAUCUUCCGCAAUGGACGAAAGUCUGACGGAGCAACGCCGCGUGAGUGAUGACGGCCUUCGGGUUGUAAAGCUCUGUUAAUCGGGACGAAAGGACUUCUUGCGAACAGUUAGAAGGAUUGACGGUACCGGAAUAGAAAGCCACGGCUAACUACGUG
rnacentral:rRNA from 1 species